ACUCGCGAAGAAAUGGGCGAGUGAUAGUGGUGGGUCUGGUUUGAACGUGUAGGUUAAAGUUUGGCGCGUUUCAAGUGUAUACGCAAAGUUCCAGAAAAUCAAACAACACGAGUGUCAAAGACAAGCUCGAAGAGGAUCGCGUAGGGCUCCGGGCCAUAACCUAAAAAAUUUAGGUUUCUUCAAUCAUAUCGACAAGUUGUUAGCUCAAUUUUCUUUUCGAGACGUGAAAUGAUUUGACACCAAGUUAAAAGAUGGAGAAUAAUUUAAGUCAAGAAUAAUAUCAUUUUAGAUAAAUUUCCUUUUUUGAAAAAACUAUUUUAUGGUAAGGUAACGAUGAAAUAACGCAAUUGUUGUUACUGUUUUGGAAACCCUAAUAUGAAUGUAUGAGCAAUUAAAGUUUAAUAUUGAUGAGUUGAGUGUUUGAUUGUGAUGCCCUAUUCGAGGGUUUCU